AUACAUAAAAACUGUCAGGGUGAAUACCACACUCAAGAAGGUGGUUUCCACAGGGUGAGGUUCUUCCAUUGCACAAUUUGGUUGGGUUGACCCCUGUGAUUUCCCCAAAUGGGGGAAACUCAACUGCAUUUUAGGGACGGAGGCUGGUAUAAUGGUUAAGCUUU